GCCCGACUAGCUCAAUCGGAUAGAGCGUCAGACUCUUAACUAGGCAGUGUCAUGCGAAGGAUGCGGGUCCGACCCAUGCGGUGGGCU